rnacentral:rRNA from 1 species
AGUGAACGCUGGCGGUAGGCCUAACACAUGCAAGUCGAACGGCAGCACAGGAGAGCUUGCUCUCUGGGUGGCGAGUGGCGGACGGGUGAGGAAUACAUCGGAAUCUACUCUGUCGUGGGGGAUAACGUAGGGAAACUUACGCUAAUACCGCAUACGACCUACGGGUGAAAGCAGGGGACCUUCGGGCCUUGCGCGAUUGAAUGAGCCGAUGUCGGAUUAGCUAGUUGGCGGGGUAAAGGCACACCAAGGCGACGAUCAGUAGCUGGUCUGAGAGGAUGAUCAGCCACACUGGAACUGAGACACGGUCCAGACUCCUACGGGAGGCAGCAGUGGGGAAUAUUGGACAAUGGGCGCAAGCCUGAUCCAACCAUACCGCGUGGGUGAAGAAGGCCUUCGGGUUGUAAAGCCCUUUUGUUGGGAAAGAAAUCCAGCUGGCUAAUACCCGGUUGGGAUGACGGUACCCAAAGAAUAAGCACCGGCUAACUUCGUGCCAGCAGCCGCCGUAA